GGGUUGAGGAGAACCCCAGUGAAUGCAGGUGCAUUUUAUAGGCAAGGCCUCAAAGAUCCCAAAGAAAUCUUUGAAAUCACCUUUCUCCUGGGUUCAGGGGACUCAUAAAUGAUACCAUCCGUCCCUGGUUACUCCUGCUCAUUAAAUGCCAGAAUAAAGAGCUUCGAGCUCAUGAGGGGCUCCAUCCCCAUUACUUCAGGACGCUUGGCUGCAUUUAUGAUGAGAAGGCCCUGGGGUAUUUAAUAAACUACUGGAUUUGUCUAAUAAAAUCCUCCCGUGGCCCUGCUGAUGUUACCAGCUUCAUGUCACACACUCUUGCACUAUUGGGACAGUACCAGAAUGUAUUUUAAAUUCCCAUUGUAUCUAUUUCAUUUUUAUUUAAAGGAAAUGAUUUCCAAGGUUUAAGGCAGAUUUUCUGAUGUAAACAUAUCUAUGUACCUAGGUAUGAGGAGCUAGAAAUGUGGUAUCAUAUGUAUCAAGUCUGUAAGGGGCUGGUCUAAGGCUAGGAAGGAGCAACUAUGCACUGCUGGCUCAUCUAAUUGUAGUUCCAAACUGUUCUCCUCGGAACUGUGAUUCCUCAAAUAGUGGAUUCUCAUUGUUACAUACCAUAUAUUUAUAUAAAGCUGCAUUUAUCCUCAUUUAACAAUAGAUUUAAUCUUCUGUUAAUGAUAUGUUUUAUAUAGUCUCCUAGAAGGUUUGGAUUGGGCUUUGGAACUUAAUCUGGCAACCCCUCCUGUUACAGAAGGAAGAACUGAGGCCCAGAGAGGGCAUGGGAUUUGCCCGAGAGCACACUGGUAGUAAGUGUGGGCUGAUAUUCAAGUCUAGAUCUUAAAAAUUCAAAGGUGGUGCUCUUUCCACCAUAAUAAGGAUCUCUUAGUAUAUGUAUAUGUGUCUGGCUUUCAUGGACACCCCGACAUGGGAGGGUGGCAGCAUGUGCACAUCAGUGUGUUUAUGGUGAGGGAAUCUGGCUGCUUUCGCCAUCACUGGCCACCAGGAUCGUGGGGCCCAUCUGGUGCCUAGGUGACUCUUCUCUUGCCCCCCUCGCUGCUCCCCUUGCACCCCAGGUGUAGCUCUGGUGUAAUGAAAGACAGGCAGACCUUGAACUGGAACAGUUGGCUUCACCCCACCUCUCUGGCCCUGCAUUUCCUCAUUUGUAAAAUGGAGUUACUGCUUCCUGAAAUUCUCAUGUUAACCGCAGGGCCCGCCUCGUGGGAUGCAGAUGGUAUUGGUUCAAACUCACCACACGUGUAGUGAGAUAGGGUUCAUCAGUAGUCUCUCUGGAAUGAAAGGGAGUUCAUGUUUCCUCAUCUCCUGCUCUAUGAUCCUGUUUAUUUUUAAUUAAUUUGGUAGACAGAUCAACUUGCUAUCUCACAGGUGCUGUCCCUGCCUCACACCACAGUGAUGAGGAAGCACAACCCCCUUUUCUUGAUCUCCACCCCCAUGCACACAAGGCCUCUACUUAGGCGUAGCAGACUUUAUAGAAGGCUCAAGGAAACAGAGAGGUUUGCCUCACCCUUGUUAGAGCACUAUAGCCUUCAUCCCAGAAAUUCCUUGCUCCUUACUUCAAAACACAGAUAGCUUAGCUCAUUGAUCUCUAUCAUUUAGGAACUAUGUUUUGCUGCAACAGAGACCUAUAAAACAAUGCCUUAAAUAAGGUUUAAAUAUUUCUUCCAUGUAAAAGAAGUCUAAAGAUAGGCAUUCUAGGGAUGGUGUGGUAGUACUGUCAUCUCAUCAAUGUCCUAACCUCCUCUUGUCUCUCUGUUUUGCUUUUUUUAUCACAGGCCUAUUGUUUCCAAUCAAGAUCACCUCAGGACUGCAAAAUGGCUGCUUCAGCAGCAGUCAUUACAUCCGUUUUUCAGGCAGUGGAAGAUGGAAGACCAAAUCCUGAUAUUUGAGGUGGCAACGUGCCCAACUGAGAAACUACAUUUCCCAGUCUCCCUUGCAGCUGAGUGCAGCCAUGUGACCUGUUCUGGCCACUAAAAUGGCUCCCUCAAGGUGGACACCGUGUUGAUGUGGGCUCUUCCCAUCUACCAUCUGACUGCACUGGGAAGUGGAGGGAACUGCAUUAUCAUGCCAUCUUCACAGGCCUGUCAAUUAUGUGCAGGACAUGGGACAGUGUGGGUGGAAAUCUGUAAAACCAGCUACCAAAGGUGAGUUCUUUUAAUACCAGGUGGCCUGAAGUUAGAGGUAGUGA